rnacentral:tRNA from 1 species
UCCCUGGUGGCUCAGACAGUAAAGAAUCUGCCUGAAAUGCAGGAGACCCAGGUUUGAUCCCUGGGUCGGGAA